AUGUUGCAGGAGGAUGGGGGUAUUGAUGAAGAUGUGAACCAUCGAAUCAAAGCCGGAUGGAUGAAGUGGCGCCAAGCUUCUGGCAUUCUCUGUGACAAGAGAGUGCCACAAAAGCUAAAAGAUAGAGUUGGGGUAGCACCAAUUGAGGAGAAGCUUGUCCAACAUCGUCUGAGAUGGUUUGGGCAUAUUCAGCGCAGGCCUCCAGAAGCUCCAGUGCAUAGCGGACGGCUAAAGCGUGCAGAGAAUGUCAAGAGAGGGCGGGGUCGACCGAAUUUGACAUGGGUGGAGUCCGUUAAGAGAGACCUGAAGGGUUGGAGUAUCGACAAAGGGCUAGCUAUGGACAGGGGUGCGUGGAAGCUUGCUAUCCAUGUAACAGAGCCAUGA
rnacentral:rRNA from 1 species